GGGGAUUUAGCUCAGUGGCAUAAGCACCUGCCUUGCAAGCAGGAAGGUGGUGAGUUCGAUCCCUG
rnacentral:tRNA from 1 species